rnacentral:ncRNA from 1 species
AAAAAUAAGCGCCAGAACUAAUGUAGGGUAGUUGACGAGGAAGAAGCGUAUCGAAAGCAUUCGGCGGAUACUUCUCGCCCAUUUACACAGGGACGCAGGCUUUUGACAAAACAAAGGGGAAACUUUUUGCACAAAACAAAAGCA